rnacentral:lncRNA from 1 species
ACUAAGUAGAGGUUUGUGUAUAGUAAACCAUAUUAUAUACAUUCUAUUUGGUUUAUGCUUUCUUGAUUAGGGUUUAGCUUUAUUAAUCAGUGGUGUGUUUUGUAUAAUUUUCAGUAGAGGUUUGAGUGAGAUGCAAUAGUACAUGCGUAACCGAGAUAGAAUAGUAUACACGCAAUCUGGUAAGCAUUAACUUCUUCAUGGAUUCAUCUUCUUUUAUCUAUGUUUAUUUAUGUGGUAAAAAA